GAUGAACGCUGGCGGCGUGCCUAAUACAUGCAAGUCGAGCGAACAGACGAGGAGCUUGCUCCUCUGACGUUAGCGGCGGACGGGUGAGUAACACGUGGAUAACCUACCUAUAAGACUGGGAUAACUUCGGGAAACCGGAGCUAAUACCGGAUAAUAUAUUGAACCGCAUGGUUCAAUAGUGAAAGACGGUUUUGCUGUCACUUAUAGAUGGAUCCGCGCCGCAUUAGCUAGUUGGUAAGGUAACGGCUUACCAAGGCAACGAUGCGUAGCCGACCUGAGAGGGUGGUCGGGCAAACUGGAACUGAGACAAGGUCCAGACUCCUACGGGAGGCAGCAGUAGGGAAUUUUGCGCAAUGGGCGAAAGCCUGACGGAGCAACGCCGCGUGAGUGAUGAAGGUCUUCGGAUCGUAAAACUCUGUUAUUAGGGAAGAACAAAUGUGUAAGUAACUAUGCACGUCUUGACGGUACCUAAUCAGAAAGCCACGGCUAACUACGUG
rnacentral:rRNA from 1 species